rnacentral:tRNA from 1 species
AAGGGUUUAGCUUAAUUAAAGUGUCUGGUUUGCGUUCAGUUGAUGUAAGGUCAUAGUCUUACAACUCUUA